rnacentral:lncRNA from 1 species
GAAGGAGGGUGGAGGAAGGAGCUUGUAAAUGAGCAGCUGGUUUGCAGCAAAACCGCACCUCACUCUGCACCUUUGGAUCCCUCUCAGCCUGAGGUUAGCACAGCCAAUGUCCUCACCAGCGUCUGCCAAAGCCCAUGGAGAAGGCCAGCAGGAGCAUAUCACUGUGACUUACAACCCUUCUCUAGUCUGCUACAAUGGAAUCUUAAACAAGAAAAUUUUAUAUUUUGACUUGCAUCAUUGAGAAAAACACUGCCAACCUGAUCGUGGUUCCUUUGAAGCUGUGUCAUGCAGUCUGUGCACUGCAUAGAGGCUCCUGAAGGGAAGAAUAGAUGCUGAAAUCUGGCCUGCACUCAACUGACCAAGCUGUGUAUCCUGGCGAGGGGCUGUGUGAAUUCAGAAGAAGUGGUGCCUUUGUGUAUGUUCAUUGCAGCACUAUUCACAAUAGCAAAGACAUGUAAUCAACCUAAAUGCCCAUCAGUGAUAAACUGGAUAAAGAAAAUGUGGUACAUAUACACCAUGGAAUACUAUGCAGCCAUAAAAAGGAGCAAGAUCACGUCCUUUGUAGGGACAUGGAUGGAGUUGGAAGCCGUUAUCCUCAACAAACUAAUGCAGGAACAGAAAACCAAACACUGCCUGUUCUCACUUAUAAUUGGGAGCUGAAUGAUGAGAACACAUGGACACACAGAGGGGAACAACACACACUGGGGCCCAUUGGGGACUGGGGGGAGGGAGAGCAUCAGGAAGAAUAGCUAAUGGUUGCUUGGCUUAAAUACCUAGGUGAUGGGAUGAUCUGUGCAGAAAACUACCAUGGCACAUCUUUACCUAUGUAACAAGCCUGCACAUCCUGCACAUGAACCCCUCAACUUAAAAUAAAAGUUGAAGGAAAAAAAAGCUGUGCCUUUUUUCUAAUUCUUCCCUGAGAGGGAGUGACUUUUUAUAAUUAGCCUAAAGUUUCCAUAUGUGUUAGAGAAGCCUUGCUGGCUAGGAAGUUCUGGACAUGAGACUAUUUAAAUUUCAGCAUUUAGAAGUUUUUGUCUCAUAAGAUUGAUGAAGUCUUUAAAUAGUAAUAAAAAAGCCUAUGUUACUCUAAGUGGGUUCUAGCAACAAAAAGGCAAUAAGGCAUUUCCUUGAAUGCAACGAUACUCAAAGUGUGGCCUACAGACCACCAGGAGCAGCAUCACCUGGGAGUUUGAUAGAGAUGCAAACUGUUGAGGUUCAUCCCAAAUCUAGGGAAUCAUGAACUCCAGGGAUGGGGCUCAGAAAUCAGUGUUUUAAAAAACCCUCCAUGGUAUUCUGAUGCAC